UUAAGCGACUAAGCGUACACGGUGGAUGCCCUGGCAGUCAGAGGCGAUGAAGGACGUGCUAAUCUGCGAUAAGCGUCGGUAAGGUGAUAUGAACCGUUAUAACCGGCGAUUUCCGAAUGGGGAAACCCAGUGUGUUUCGACACACUAUCAUUAACUGAAUCCAUAGGUUAAUGAGGCGAACCGGGGGAACUGAAACAUCUAAGUACCCCGAGGAAAAGAAAUCAACCGAGAUUCCCCCAGUAGCGGCGAGCGAACGGGGAGGAGCCCAGAGCCUGAAUCAGUGUGUGUGUUAGUGGAAGCGUCUGGAAAGGCGCGCGAUACAGGGUGACAGCCCCGUACACAAAAAUGCACAUAUUGUGAGCUCGAUGAGUAGGGCGGGACACGUGGUAUCCUGUCUGAAUAUGGGGGGACCAUCCUCCAAGGCUAAAUACUCCUGACUGACCGAUAGUGAACCAGUACCGUGAGGGAAAGGCGAAAAGAACCCCGGCGAGGGGAGUGAAAAAGAACCUGAAACCGUGUACGUACAAGCAGUGGGAGCACGCUUAGGCGUGUGACUGCGUACCUUUUGUAUAAUGGGUCAGCGACUUAUAUUCUGUAGCAAGGUUAACCGAAUAGGGGAGCCGAAGGGAAACCGAGUCUUAACUGGGCGUUAAGUUGCAGGGUAUAGACCCGAAACCCGGUGAUCUAGCCAUGGGCAGGUUGAAGGUUGGGUAACACUAACUGGAGGACCGAACCGACUAAUGUUGAAAAAUUAGCGGAUGACUUGUGGCUGGGGGUGAAAGGCCAAUCAAACCGGGAGAUAGCUGGUUCUCCCCGAAAGCUAUUUAGGUAGCGCCUCGUGAAUUCAUCUCCGGGGGUAGAGCACUGUUUCGGCAAGGGGGUCAUCCCGACUUACCAACCCGAUGCAAACUGCGAAUACCGGAGAAUGUUAUCACGGGAGACACACGGCGGGUGCUAACGUCCGUCGUGAAGAGGGAAACAACCCAGACCGCCAGCUAAGGUCCCAAAGUCAUGGUUAAGUGGGAAACGAUGUGGGAAGGCCCAGACAGCCAGGAUGUUGGCUUAGAAGCAGCCAUCAUUUAAAGAAAGCGUAAUAGCUCACUGGUCGAGUCGGCCUGCGCGGAAGAUGUAACGGGGCUAAACCAUGCACCGAAGCUGCGGCAGCGACGCUUAUGCGUUGUUGGGUAGGGGAGCGUUCUGUAAGCCUGUGAAGGUGUGCUGUGAGGCAUGCUGGAGGUAUCAGAAGUGCGAAUGCUGACAUAAGUAACGAUAAAGCGGGUGAAAAGCCCGCUCGCCGGAAGACCAAGGGUUCCUGUCCAACGUUAAUCGGGGCAGGGUGAGUCGACCCCUAAGGCGAGGCCGAAAGGCGUAGUCGAUGGGAAACAGGUUAAUAUUCCUGUACUUGGUGUUACUGCGAAGGGGGGACGGAGAAGGCUAUGUUGGCCGGGCGACGGUUGUCCCGGUUUAAGCGUGUAGGCUGGUUUUCCAGGCAAAUCCGGAAAAUCAAGGCUGAGGCGUGAUGACGAGGCACUACGGUGCUGAAGCAACAAAUGCCCUGCUUCCAGGAAAAGCCUCUAAGCAUCAGGUAACAUCAAAUCGUACCCCAAACCGACACAGGUGGUCAGGUAGAGAAUACCAAGGCGCUUGAGAGAACUCGGGUGAAGGAACUAGGCAAAAUGGUGCCGUAACUUCGGGAGAAGGCACGCUGAUAUGUAGGUGAAGUCCCUCGCGGAUGGAGCUGAAAUCAGUCGAAGAUACCAGCUGGCUGCAACUGUUUAUUAAAAACACAGCACUGUGCAAACACGAAAGUGGACGUAUACGGUGUGACGCCUGCCCGGUGCCGGAAGGUUAAUUGAUGGGGUCAGCGCAAGCGAAGCUCUUGAUCGAAGCCCCGGUAAACGGCGGCCGUAACUAUAACGGUCCUAAGGUAGCGAAAUUCCUUGUCGGGUAAGUUCCGACCUGCACGAAUGGCGUAAUGAUGGCCAGGCUGUCUCCACCCGAGACUCAGUGAAAUUGAACUCGCUGUGAAGAUGCAGUGUACCCGCGGCAAGACGGAAAGACCCCGUGAACCUUUACUAUAGCUUGACACUGAACAUUGAGCCUUGAUGUGUAGGAUAGGUGGGAGGCUUAGAAGUGUGGACGCCAGUCUGCAUGGAGCCGACCUUGAAAUACCACCCUUUAAUGUUUGAUGUUCUAACGUUGACCCGUAAUCCGGGUUGCGGACAGUGUCUGGUGGGUAGUUUGACUGGGGCGGUCUCCUCCUAAAGAGUAACGGAGGAGCACGAAGGUUGGCUAAUCCUGGUCGGACAUCAGGAGGUUAGUGCAAUGGCAUAAGCCAGCUUGACUGCGAGCGUGACGGCGCGAGCAGGUGCGAAAGCAGGUCAUAGUGAUCCGGUGGUUCUGAAUGGAAGGGCCAUCGCUCAACGGAUAAAAGGUACUCCGGGGAUAACAGGCUGAUACCGCCCAAGAGUUCAUAUCGACGGCGGUGUUUGGCACCUCGAUGUCGGCUCAUCACAUCCUGGGGCUGAAGUAGGUCCCAAGGGUAUGGCUGUUCGCCAUUUAAAGUGGUACGCGAGCUGGGUUUAGAACGUCGUGAGACAGUUCGGUCCCUAUCUGCCGUGGGCGCUGGAGAACUGAGGGGGGCUGCUCCUAGUACGAGAGGACCGGAGUGGACGCAUCACUGGUGUUCGGGUUGUCAUGCCAAUGGCACUGCCCGGUAGCUAAAUGCGGAAGAGAUAAGUGCUGAAAGCAUCUAAGCACGAAACUUGCCCCGAGAUGAGUUCUCCCUGACCCUUUAAGGGUCCUGAAGGAACGUUGAAGACGACGACGUUGAUAGGCCGGGUGUGUAAGCGCAGCGAUGCGUUGAGCUAACCGGUACUAAUGAACCGUGAGGCUUAACCUU
rnacentral:rRNA from 3 species